GCUUAGCUAGCUAGAAGUGCCAUGGUUCUUCGAGUGUGAUCGAGCGUCGGUGAGCUGAGCUGUGGGAAUGGCGCGGCGUCAGUGGAGCUGGAGCAGCGGCGGCGUCGCGGUGGCGGCCGUGCUCGGAUUGCUGUUCGUGCUCUGCGCGGGGCAUCCGGUGCCGGGUGGGCACGGCGGUGGCGGGUUCCCGCUGCAGCCGCACUUACUACGAGCACACGUGCCCGCAGGUGCAGGCCAUCGUGGCGAAGGCGCACGCGGAGGACCCGCGCAUGGCGGCGUCGUCCUUGCUGCGGAUGAACUUCCACGACUGCUUCGUGCAGGGGUGCGACGCCUCCGUGCUGCUCGACGCCGACGGCAGCAGCAGGUUUGUCACGGAGAAGCGGUCCAACACCAACAGUGACUCGCUCCGCAGGUUCGAGGUCAUCGACGAUGAAAGGAUCAAGAGAGGGCUGAAUUAGGCUCUAACUAAUUUUUCUUACCGAAAAUAAGAUCUACAACCAAGUCUAAUCACGCUUAAACCUUAUAAAAUGUGACUAUUCUAAUCGUUCUAAGUCAAAAGCAGGUCUGAUUACACCUAUUCCUAAUCCUAAAUAGAAUGUAAGGACGUAGGGAUUUCUAUGUAAACAGAGUAUCCUAUUUCCAUAGGCUCGAAUGACCCCUUCUCAUAAUAAGAAUGUGCACGGUCUGGUCCGGUAUGGAAUGAACUUAUAAUCUGAUGAUCAGGUUUGCAACAUAAUUCCAACACUAUGCUAGCAUGGCAAUUCUAGAAAUUGAAAUUGCGGAAAGUAAAUUGUUCAAAUUAAAGCAAGGGUUAGAACGUCGAUUUUUUCCCGAGGUAUCGAAGAGUCGGCACUCUUCCCUAAUCCUCGUUGGAGCACCCGUGCAAGGGUAUUGCUCCUCCUUGAUCUACGCAGGAUCAAGUGCUCUCUAACGGAUAUCCAUUCUCCACUCCGGAUCGGCGGAUUCCAAACCGAGCACAACUUUCUUGGGGCUUCUCACAAGACUCCUUCCUGAGAGCUCACCAAGAACAUCACCAUCAAGCCGUCUAGGUGAUGCCGAUCACCAAGAGUAACAAGCAAAGACUUCACUUGACCUGCACAAGAUUAAGAGAAAGGGUGGAUGCACACUUGCUACUCUGUAAGCAUAUCCUUAAUCUUCAAUUAAGAACCUUGCAAUAUCACUUAGUGCUUCUCUUGCCCUUGACCACCAAAUGUGUGUAUGAAUGAUCCCUGGUGCCAAGAGAAGCUCCUUGGAGCUGAAGAGCAAGUAUAUAUAGACCCACUCUAAAGAGUUGUAGGUUCCGCUUCAACACUGCAGAAAGAUGAACACUGGAACAAUCUUGUCGGGAGUGCCAAAGAGCGAAAGAGCUACUUCAAGGUCCCAAAGCCAUUCGGCGCAUUCUUUGCCGAGGAUAACCUGAAGACCAUGGUGGUGCAAAAGGAUCCUCCUGCAGAGCCCAAAGCUGAAGCGCUGGAGGCGAUGAAUGAAGAAGCGCACAGGCAGGGCCUCAUGAUUGUGGAUGCUGUCGACGACCAAGCAGAUGCAGGGGAUGACGACGACGCUGCCCUGGAUGUUGAUGAUGGAGGCGGCGACGACUGAUUGUAGGACGCCGUGUGAGCUGUGGCCCCUGGGUACAGCAGUUGUAUUAGCGAACUGGUACAUAUAGAGGAUUAGGGUUUUAUGGGUGGAGACAUGGAGGUUGCUGAGGCUUCAAAACAGAAAUUUAUCCAAUUUUGGGUGGAAGAGAUGCCCGGGAUGCCUAAGUUACACUACCAACAUUACUUGUUAAACAUAAAUAGU